UUACGGGGGGGGCGACGCCUCCCCCCCCCGGGGGGGGNNNNNNNNNNNNNNNNNNNNNNNNNNNNNUGCCGCGUCCCCCCGCCCCGCCCCGCCCCGCCCCGCCCGGUGAGCUCAUCCGCAGCUGGCGGGCGCCAGGCCGGUUGCCACGGCAACGCCUCUCCCAGGGCCGCGCGGACUCGAGCGGCUCCGGUAAACAGGACCUUCUGCCGGACUCUUCCCCUCGCCGUGGGGUGGGGGUGGGGGGGGGGGUCUGGCGGCUUAACCCCUUCCGUGCUGGAGAGCCAGCGGCGCGGCUGCGGGCGCGGGGCGCAGGCGCGGGAGGGCGACAGCCCCGGCACCCCCACCUCCGUGCGCUCGGGGCGCCCCAGGCCACCCUGGCGGGCUGCAGUCCGGCCCCGGCCCCCAGGAUCCGCGCAGCGACAGCCCCGGGCGCCCCGGGCGCGGGCCACGGGGGUCCCCGAGCCGCGCGGGGAGGGGAGUCCGGAGGCGGCCCCCGGAGGGGCGGUGACUCACGGAGGACCAGCCCCCGCCUCGGGGCACACAGAUCGCGGACUUAGGGCCGCCCAAGAACACGCGCGCAAGUGCUCGGGGCUCCUUAGCUGAGGACAACGGGGGCCACGCAAGGUUUUUGAGCGGAGGAGUUCCCCGGCGAAAGGGCGAUGGAGCCGAGCGUGGUGAUUUAUGGGCGCGGGGGGAAAACCCCAGGCUCGUCUCUGCACCGGAGGAAAGUCACUCUCGUCUUUGGCUCGGGGCCCCCUAAAGCUCAGAACAAGCAUGGAGCACUGCAGAACCCUCUUACCCCUCCCUCCUCUUCCUUCAGCAUCCUGUUGAGGAGCGAAGGCUCUGGAGCAGACUGCUUUGCCCCUCUCAGGAUCUCCAUCCAGAAGGUGGGAAUAGGAACAGUUAUAACCAACUUCAUCCCCUUGAGGGGAUUAAAGCAGAUUAACAAGCAAAGGGAGUAGUGCUGGGCCUGGCGCAUUGGGGGCACUCCCCGUUACCUCCCAUCUGUUACUUUCCUAAUCUCUCUCUCUCUCUCUCUCUUUUUUUUUUUUUUUUUUUUUUGCAGGAGCACAAAAGUAUUCAGAGUUCAGCAGAAGGGAUACCCUGAUACUCCUGAUACAGGAGUAGUCCUGUAUCAGAGUUGAGCUUCCCCCCACCUCUUUUAGGGCCACAGCACAGAGUCUGCUUCUUCUCACCUAUAAACCAAGUGAAGGAUGACCCAGGGCUGGAAAAAAGCUAGCCUGAAGCCGGAGAGAGAGACUGACCAGGAACCUCCCUCGAAUUGUUUAACUUCCCUUCAAAUUCCCUUCGGCUGGCUCAGUCAGUGAAGCAUCUGCUUUGGGCUCAGGUCAUGAUCCCACGUUCCUGGGAUCGAGUUCUGCAUCAGGCUCCCUGCUCGGCGGGGUGUCUGCUUCUCCCUCUCCCUCUGCCCCUCCUUGUGCUCAUGCUCUCUCUCUCAAAUAAAUAAAUAAAAUCUUUAAAAAAAGAUCUGGGC
rnacentral:lncRNA from 12 species